rnacentral:rRNA from 1 species
UACGUAGGGGGCAAGCGUUAUCCGGAUUUACUGGGUGUAAAGGGGGCGCAGACGGCAAUGCAAGCCAGGGGUGAAAGCCCGGGGCCCAACCCCGGGACUGCUCUUGGAACUGCGUGGCUGGAGUGCAGGAGGGGCAGGCGGAAUUCCUGGUGUAGCGGUGAAAUGCGUAGAUAUCAGGAGGAACACCGGUGGCGAAGGCGGCCUGCUGGACUGCAACUGACGUUGAGGCCCGAAAGCGUGGGGAGCAAACAGG